rnacentral:rRNA from 1 species
AGUGAACGCUGGCGGUAGGCCUAACACAUGCAAGUCGAACGGCAGCACAGUAAGAGCUUGCUCUUACGGGUGGCGAGUGGCGGACGGGUGAGGAAUACAUCGGAAUCUACUUUUUCGUGGGGGAUAACGUAGGGAAACUUACGCUAAUACCGCAUACGACCUACGGGUGAAAGCAGGGGAUCUUCGGACCUUGCGCGAUUGAAUGAGCCGAUGUCGGAUUAGCUAGUUGGCGGGGUAAAGGCCCACCAAGGCGACGAUCCGUAGCUGGUCUGAGAGGAUGAUCAGCCACACUGAAACUGAGACACGGUCCAGACUCCUACGGGAGGCAGCAGGGGGGAAUAUUGGACAAUGGGCGCAAGCCUGAUCAGCCAUACCGCGUGGGUGAAGAAGGCCUUCGGGUUGUAAAGCCCUUUUGUUGGGAAAGAAAAGCAGCAGGUUAAUACCCCGCUGUUCUGACGGUACCCAAAGAAUAAGCACCGGCUAACUUCGUG